rnacentral:rRNA from 1 species
UACGUAGGGUGCGAGCGUUGUCCGGAAUUAUUGGGCGUAAAGGGCUCGUAGGCGGUUUGUCGCGUCGGGAGUGAAAACGCCGUGCUUAACACGGCGCUUGCUUUCGAUACGGGCAGACUAGAGGUAUGCAGGGGAGAACGGAAUUCCUGGUGUAGCGGUGAAAUGCGCAGAUAUCAGGAGGAACGACCGGUGGCGAAGGCGGUCAUCCUGGGACCGGUAUUGACCGCUGAGGCGCGAAAGCUAGGGGAGCAAACGGG